rnacentral:rRNA from 1 species
UACGAAGGGGGCUAGCGUUGCUCGGAAUUACUGGGCGUAAAGCGCACGUAGGCGGAUUGUUAAGUCGGAGGUGAAAUCCUGGAGCUCAACUCCAGAACUGCCUUCGAAACUGGCGAUCUCGAGUCCGGGAGAGGUGAGUGGAACUGCGAGUGUAGAGGUGAAAUUCGUAGAUAUUCGCAAGAACACCAGUGGCGAAGGCGGCUCACUGGCCCGGUACUGACGCUGAGGUGCGAAAGCGUGGGGAGCAAACAGG